CCUACGGGUGGCAGCAGUAGGGAAUAUUGCACAAUGAGCGAAAGCCUGAUGCAGCGACACCGCGUGCAGGAUGAAGGUCUUCGGAUCGUAAAGUGCUGUUAUCAGGGAAGAACAUUUGCUAUGGUAAUUAAUUGCAAAUUGACGGUACCUUCACAGGAAGCGCCGGCUAACUAUGUGCCAGCAGCCGCGGUAAUACAUAGGGUGCAAGCGUUAAUCGGAAUUAUUGGGCGUAAAGCGUUCGUAGGCUGUAUGUCAAGUCUAGGGGGAAAUCCCCGGGCUCAACCUCGGGACCGCUUUGGAAACUAGCAAACUAGAGUGAGAAAGAGGAAAGUGGAAUUCCAGGUGAAGGGGUGAAAUGCGUAGAUAUAUGGAAGAACACCAGAGGCGAAGGCGACUAUCUGGGACAAAACUGACGCUGAGGGGCGAAAGCGUGGGGAGCAAACAGGAUUAGAUACCCCUGUAGUC
rnacentral:rRNA from 1 species